GUUCAAAUGAGGAAGGGAUUAUAGUGGAUACCUAGGAACCCAGAGACGAGGAAGGGCAUGGUAAGAGACGAAAUGCUUUGGGGAGUUGAAAAUGAGCAUAGAUCCAGAGAUUUCCGAAUAGGUUAACGUUUUUAACUAUUGUUUAAUCCAUGGGUAGGAAAGAGACAACCUGGCAAACUGAAACAUCUUAGUAGCCAUAGGAAUAGAAAUAAAAAUCAAUUCCCAUAGUAGCAGUGAGAUAAAUGGGAGCAACCUAAACCAUGAAAAUGGGGUUCUGGGAGAGAACAAUAUAAGCUAUGUGCUUUUAGGUGAAGCGGUUGAGUCCUGCACCCUAGAUGGUGAGAGUCCAGUAGCCAAAACCAUCAUUGGGUUAUGCUCUAACCCAAGUAGUAUGGGGCAUGUGGAAUCCCAUGUGAAUCAGCAAGGAUCACGUUGCAAGGAUAAAUACUCCUGGGUGACCGAUAGUGUUAGCGAUAUUUCCUGCUAAGGGGUUUAGAUAUCAAAAGAAUGGGUUAAAACCCACUUGUCCAAAGUUUCGGGCGAUAAAUCGCCCAUGGUAAGCAGCAAGCAAGACCGGGCGGUCCAGAUUGGUGCGCCCAGAUCGACGGCGCACAGCAAAUUUCGGCCCCCCCUUGCCUUCCGAUCUUUAAGCAGGGGGGGGG
rnacentral:ncRNA from 1 species